rnacentral:lncRNA from 1 species
AUUCACUAGGAUCCUUACAAAUCACAGCUAAAGAGAGUAAAUUUCGAUAUACAUGCAUCUGAGUUUGUUGACCCAAUCAUUUCUUCACGCAUGCAUAGCCAAAUGGGCCAAUUCCCGGCUCAACCUUGUCUUGGCCGUUCAUAAAGGGACAAAUACAAGAAUCCUGUUUUGCAGCCCCAGGGAACAGUGCCUCUCAAUCUAGGACUUCUCAUUGUUCUACUUACCUUAUUUGUUCCGUUUUUUCUUUCUUCUCCUGCAUCAUAAAUUCAUAAUAUCAAAUUUCAUAAGACAGACAUAUUUCAGGGUGGUUAUUGUGGAUCAAUUAUUCUGCUAUAUUUAUGUGGUUCUACUUCCAUGAUGAUGAAUUUUUAAAUCAUAAGCUUUUGUUAUCCUCAUUUUCUAGCAUUCCAUUAGUCUAGUUUUAGGCAGAUUUGAAGUUUUUCCUUGCAUAAGGCCAAUCAGAGUUGAAACAAUGCUUUUUUAGUUUCUGAUGUUUAAUUGUUUCUCUGCGCCUUACAGCUUGCUGGUUCGAUUAGACAUAAAAUGAUCCCCAGAGCUACUGUAUUGCUGGUUUAUUAUGAAAGCAGAUUUGGUCACUGGUGGCUGUGCCAGAACUUACGCCCCACACGAAUGCAGGUCAUAUUAAUAUAUCAAUUCUAAUGUUAUAUCCCUUGUUCCUUGAUGUAAUCACUUUCUUCAUUGUAAAACAGAAUUUAUGGGAGAAAAAAAUCAACUUUGCAAUUUGUAGAUAGUAGAAAUGGGUCUCUGGGCCUUGUUUAUUUGAAGCUGAUGUCCGACCCUUGUUAUACUUUUUCUUCAGUAAAAAAAUUCCAGUUUUAGGGUGGAUUUCUUUCAUGAAGGUUGCAAAUAAUGUGCUAGACUUGUUUUACUUAUCUCCCUAGUGAUAAUUGGUUUGAAUCUUAAACACACUCAACAAAAUUCCAAAUCAUAUUUGCUUAAUAUGGAUGUGAUUUUUACUCUUUGAAGGUGUCUGCCAAAGGUACCAAGAACUUGAUUUCAUAAAAUAUCAGUACUUUGAAGCUAAAAACAUCCAGACUUUAAAGUGAUAGUUUUUUUUUCCCGAAAUCACGAGAUAACAAGACAAAAUGGAAGCAAAAGCAGAUAACAUUACAUCUGAGGAAAUAAUAAUAUCGUCGUUGUUGCAGUCUUGUCCAUUUGCAUGAAGCUAGUUCUAUUCAAAACCCAGAUCAAAGAACACAAACUUGUUCCAAGCAUAAAACAUUCAACCGUAGUUUACAGUUGGUAAUUGAGGGUGUUGUCCUGGGGGGCAGGUGUGAAAUUCCAUUUUCUGAGAAGAAAACUUUCUUUGCCCAAACAACCUGUAUCAGAAACCUAGUGGCCAUGCCACGGGGUGAAUUUAAAAGCUGGAUUGUGGUAAACCCUGAUAUUCUUCCUCUCCUCUAUCUAUCUCCAGUCUGUCACUUAAAGCAAUGCAGCAUUUAUUCAAGUCUUCUUAUUGUGUCAUUUCCCCCCAAUCAAUGGUGAUAGUGGAAAAAACAAGAAGGUUCCUGGAAAUGGUUGGAGAAUCAAAAUGCAAAUUUCCAUUACCAGUAAAACGAAUAAUCUCUAUACUUGGAUUGAAAAGAAUAGAGAGAAAAUGAAGAUAAAAGAGCUGGGGCCAUUGGGGCUCAACAAAAGUCACCACAAUUACCUUGUUAAAAGGUACCUAUCAUGAACCUGGAUCUAAAUUACAGUCAUAAUAAUAAUUCCAAAAUGGGAUAAGGUGAAAAAGUUAAAUAAAAAAAGAGGGAGGAAAAAAAUGGAGGAGGCAGAGCCAGGGAAGAGGCAGUGCAUGGGCGGAGAAACAACAGAAUCAGUUGGUAGAUCCAUCCAUGCUCAGCCUGUUCCCUGUCUUUGUCUGUCUCUCCCAUCUUUCUCACUCUCUCUCAAUAUUGACUGUUACCUCAUCUUGUUUUGCCUCUGUUGGAAUGCCCCCAAAGAAACCUGCCACACUGAUGUCUAUGGCUCUAUGCUCUCAUCUGAGCUAUUUAAGCUAAACCCCCCAAUAACGUUUACAGUACAACUUGUACUAAACGGACCCUGUACUACAGUACUAGCAACUUCUUUGAGUGCCUGUUGAACAUAAAAGAACCCUUUUUGGUGGGAUGAAUUUGUACUACACUUGUAUCUGCUAGUACUCUCAUAUUCUCCAAUGAUACGAUGACUCUUACCAAAUAAAUUACUUCCAUAAAAGAAUUUAGUGAUUCCGUUAGCCUAAUGCAUCCACUUCAAAUCUUUGAAUAAACAGAUUCAGCUUGUCUUGCAGAUUUCAAAUGGUAAUGUUGGAUUAUGAUGAAAAUCAAUCAAGUAUGGUUGCAUUGAUUGAUAAGAACAAUUCGUAUUCUAUCUUUUUGGAGGAUAUUGGUUUCUUUAUGUAAAAAAAGGAUUAUUAGAGGUAUUUGGAAAAGGGGGAGCUGGUGGUGAAAUUCAGAUCAAAUGUUGGCUGCCGAUCUAAGAAAUCCACAUGAACUAGAAUUAGGCCGAGCAACCUUAUAACCAUCCAGCUUAUUGCACCAAGACAAUCACGAUAUGUAAGCUUUUGAUCAACAAUUUAAUUUUGUUCCUUUACUUUCAUUUAUCAACUUAAAUAAAUCAAUUUAAACCAAAAUUUACCCUGUUCUUUUUUGUUAAUCAACAAACUUGCUUAUGUUGAUUUAAAUUGUUUAAAAUUCAUUUAAAAGCCGAUUUACUAUUAAAUCAUUAUAUAUUAAUAGAAUUAUUAUCUGGGCGCUUAUUUUAUUUAUUUAUUUAUUUAUAGUAUAUUUGAUUAUAUCUAAAAUAUAAUAUAUAUUUUAAUAUUUGUGAACAUAUUUAUUUAUUGUUCAUGAAAUAUUUGUUUAAUUUAAACGAAUAAAUAUAAACGUACAUAAUUUUGAACAAAUGAACACAAAUAUAAAAUUGAAAUUCUUAGCAAGAACAGGUUUAAAAAUAAACAAACAUAGGUUGAUUAACAGCCUUAAUCCAAAAUUCAAACUUUCAAUAAAAUUUGAUUCCGAAGUUGUUUGUUUGAAAUUAAAUUAAAACUAGAACAAAUAAAAAUUGAAGGAUUUGAAUUGAAGAAUAAUAAAAAAGGAUAAAGAAACUAAAUAUAAGUAAAACUGAAAGAAAUGAUCAAAUUUGUCUUAGUAACCACGAUUAUCAGACAAGUUUCAAAAAAAAAAAAACAGAGUUUAACCUAGUUCUACAUAAAUGAACCAAUCAAUUUCAAGCAUAAUUAAAGAAUUGUAUAAUAUCUCUAAUAAUCAAAUAUAAACUUAUCAAAAUCCGUAGUUAAAUAUGUGUAUAGGUGGGACCAUAUAAGAGCUAAACUCAUCAUUUAAUCCAACAAAUACAUUUAUUUAGAAAGUUGAAGAGUGAGUGAAGAUAAUUUGUAUUACGGAUCCCUCAAUUCCACCUGUAAGAUCUCUAAGCUACUCGAACAAGCAAAGAACUUUUGCGAACAAAACCAAAAAGAAGGUAAAAGGAAGCAUCAUCUACGAAUAUGUAUUUACUUUUCAUUAUAUAUAUUUCAAAAGUGGGGAUGAUGAAUACAUAGGCAACAAAGAAUUUACAAUUCAAAUAUGAAUGAGAUCAGAAGCAUCUCGUUGCCCUUUCUCUCUUUUCUGAUUCCAUUUCCUUUUUAUAUAUCACAAUAUAAAAGUAAAAAAAUUGGGAUUUCUAACCUGAAUGAAUGUACAACUCCCCCAUGCAAAUGCCCUUUUCCAAGAACAAGUCUAGAGAAUCUCUAGACAAAUGAAUAUAGUUCACUUGGUCUGUUGAAUAUCACAUUUGAUAUUUUAAGAGAUCAGGAAGAGUGAUUUUCCCAGAGUUAUUUGUAUCAAGCUUGCUGAACUGAUUGCAUAUCUGCAAUAUAUCCUUCUCCCCAACCUUCCCCAUUUCUUUGAGCUUGUAAAUGACAUACUCCGAUUUACUGCAACCAGAAAUUUUAAGGUGGAACAUGAACAACAAAAGCAUCACAAGCAAAAGAACUACAAACAAGCCCCAUUAGUCUGCUAGAAAAUAAAUAAACAUCCUCAUGAAUUCAUAGACUACAAGCCCUUUAAUUUCAAACAAGCAACACAUAGAGUUCAUUCCAAAAUGAGCUAGAAAGAUAGAAACCCGACCUGAUAAAACCAUUGUUGUUUAUGUCAGCAGCUAGCAAAUCCUCAAUAGUGAUAUCCCUAUGUAGUACCCACUUGGCAAUCCUCCUAUGCCGCUUGUUAACCCUUGCUUCAGCCAAAUACAGGAAAGCUCUAGCAACGGCCAGCGUCGAAAUCAAGAGCCAAACACCAGCAAACAAGCGUCCAGGCAGAGUCUUAAAGGCCCUGUCCCCAUAUCCAACUGUGGUAACAGACAUAACAGACAAGUAAAUAGAAUCAACCCAGUCCAAGCUCUCCACAAAGUACAAAAUCAGAGAUCCAAUCCCAAUACACAACACCACAACCCCAAGUGCCAAACUGACUUUAAGCCUAAUCCUCAUCCUUCCUUUGUCCACAUCAACAAUGUAAUCCCUAGCUGAAAACCCUUGUUGUGAUUUCUCCAUCUGAAUCCCAGUUAAUAUCAUGUUCUCUUGCAGGUCGAGGACAUAAUUCACAACCCCACUCAACAAUAUAUCAAUAAAACCAAAACCCACCAACACAAACACACAAGCAAAAAUCUUGGUAGCUGGGGUUAAAGGAGCUAUAUCACCAUAACCAAUGGUGCACAUAGUGACUAUACAGAAGUAGAGAGCAUCAACAACCGGGUGAGUCUCGAUACCCGAGAAUUCAUCUCUGUUAAACGAAUAAAUAACAACACCGAGAAUUAAGUAAAUGGAAAGCAAGAAAACAGCUUGCCUGAUAAUGGAGCUGGACUCGGAUUGAGGUUUAGGCACUUGGGGUGUUUUGGGCUUCAAAUCACGCAUGACAGCCAUGGCCGGAGCCGUUUUACAUCGCUUGAGAGAACCGGGCUUCUUUGACCCUGUACUAGGAACAGGAUAAUCAAAACGGGGAGGGGGUUGAAUCUGCGGGUGGUCCUCGAUUUCAGAUUGCAAGAGGGCUGGUGUUGAGAUUGACUGUGGGAUUGUGAGAUAAAAGCCAUGAUGAGAGUCAUCAAGGAUGUGCCGAAAUUCGGGUUUUGAUUGGGGGGAGAGAAAAGGCUCAUCUGCCAUCUCAGAAAGCAGAAAACCCACACAACAGAAAAAGAAGCCUUUUACUUUUUUGCGUCUUGAAGAUCGUGGUGGUUGUUGAGAGGAAGUUGGCUUCAGGUUUAAACUUUCAAUAUUGUGACAUUGCUUUUAAGGAACACACUCUGCUUUCUCUUCAGUCAAAUAAAAAUUAAAAUUAAAAUAUUCACAUUGCACCUUAUAUACUAUAAUCCUUGUUUGGACGCAAUAUGGAUUAUGUUGCUUCAUUUAGUAAAAUGGUAUAAUUAGGUUCCAAUUAACAACAUUCUUACAUCCACUAUCACUAUUUUAUUCCUAUAAAUACUAAACCAUCCAUUCUUUGUUUACUGAUCUCAUUUCUCUUGCUUUUCUACUUCUUAUCCACUUUAGACUUAAAUAUCAAUAAUAAUAUUGUUUUGUGUAGACAAAUAAACCAUAUUCUUUUAAAAUAAAUCUAAAUAACUUCAGUUUUAUACCUCUUUGAUGAGUUAGUGCAAUAAUAUAGGAUUUUCUUUUCAUCAAUGUUAAAAUAGUUGUAAUUUCUCUAUUUGGUAUGUAAAAUUGCUAUUUAUAAUUCUUUUUCAACUCUUAAAUAAGAGGAUAAAACACGUUUAAAUACAUUUAAACUCUUAUCCUCUUCUAGUGACAACAAUACUCAUGUCAACCAAGUUAAGACUUAAUUGAUUGUAUGUAAAUUUGUUGAAGAAGUAAAACUAAUAAUUACUUUAUGAGUCUUGAUUUGAAUAAAGAAAUGAUUAAAUCUAUUAUCAAAUAGAUAUUUGACAUGGGCACGAACUAAGCUACCUUUGUCCCCUAUCUCUGUAUAGAAAAAAGUAUAUCUUUAUGAAAUAUAACUUUUGCCCAAAGGAAAAAAUUCCAAUAAGGAGUUAUUUUAUAAUAUUUUUUAAAUAUAUAUAUAUAUAUAUCAAAUAUAUUACUUUUUAUUAAAUUAAAUAAAAUUUAUUUUUUAAAAAAAUUUAAUAAAAUUAUUUAAUAAAACAUUUCAUCAAAUAAAAUAUUUUUACAAAAUAAAACGCAAAAAGAAUUUUAUUGAAAAAGAAUUGAAAGUUGGGAAUCAUUUAAAAAAAAUCAAAUGUAUUCCUUAAAAAUAAUGUUAGAAGUGCAGGAGAAAAAACAGAAUUGUAAUAUUAAUUUCUGAGUAAGGACCUAAAAAAAGGGGGGAAAAACUUUUAUAGUAGAAUUUACAAUGUGUAAAAACAUUUUAAAUGAUGUAAUAGGCAUCGAGAUUUAAUAAUAAAAAAAUAAAUUUUUAGUACCAAACUCGUUUGAUAUGGAUUUUUAUAACGUGAUCUCAUCUCUUAUUGUUAAUAUUGUAUAAAAAAUGUAUUAUAAUGUUAAUACCAAUGCUAAGGCAUUUAUAAUUUAUCAUCGUAUUAUUCAAUAUAAAAUUUAGUAAGUGUAAUUUGUCCUACUAUUAUAAAUUAAACCAAUUGAAAGCCACCUAACAUAACUUACUGUGCACGCGCUAUUGGGCAAACUUUAUAGUUUUCCAUCUGCCAAAUUGAACUUGAAAGCCAAGAUGAAGAUUAGUCUAGUUUUAAAUACAGAUAUCCAAUAUAAGGUUUUACAUAUAUAAGGACGGGUGUCUGUUAAAAGGGCAAUCAUCAUUUUCUUUGCCAUAUUCUUUACCAAUGGCGCUGUGUGUUAUGAGAUCAAGGCGAAGCCUAGUGACUCCAUCUCAGCAAACACCAUCUGGCAAGCUUGACUUGUCAUUCAUUGAUAAAGUGCCGGUUCUAAGAUGCUAUACCCGCACAUUGCAUGUAUACAAACAUGGCCCUGAAGCAUCAAAGGUCAUUAGGGAAGCCUUGUCCAAGGCCUUGGUGCCUUACUAUCCACUUGCUGGACGGCUAAAAGAGCCCGAUAACAAUCAGCUUCAGGUUGAAUGUUCGGGAGAAGGUGCCUGGUUCGUCGAGGCAUCAGCUGAUUCUAGCCUUCAUGCAUUCAAUUACUUCGACGAUGCUAAUUUUGACAUUCCUUAUGAUGAACUUCUUCCUGAUCAAGUUCCUAAAAGUGAAGGCAUGGAACCUCUUGUACAAAUGCAGGUACCAGAAUUUUGAAUUUAAACCAACAAUGAUAGUAAUGUGAUUAAGCCUAAUGCAGGCAUUGUGCAUGGGUUUUUCUUUUCAUUAGGCAUCGUGCAUGGGUUUUUCUUUUUCUUUGUCUCAGGUGACACAAUUUGCAUGCGGAGGUUUCGUCAUAGGGUUAAUAUUUUGCCACACCAUAUGCGAUGGCUUAGGAUCUGCACAGUUCCUAAACGCUGUAGGGGAGUUCGCGAGAGGCAUAGAGCAUCUAAGCGUUGAGCCGAUGUGGCAAAGGGACUUUUUUCCAACUCCAACACAAGAUGCAAAUGUUAUCCAAUUGGCAAACUUGCCAGUGCCACCACCCCCGAUGCCUGCCAAGCCGCUAGAGCAUGUGAGCAUUGAUAUUUCCAUGGAUGAAAUCAAUCAGCUAAAGAAACAAUUCCAUGAAUCGACGGGGCAAACUUGCUCUGCUUUCGAAAUCGUGGCUGCUAAUUUUUGGAGCCUUCGAACAAGAGCAAUAAACUUGGAGCCAGGUACUGAAGUCCGGCUUCUUUUCUUUGCAAAUUACCGUCAGCUAGUGGAGCCUCCUUUGCCUAAAGGCUUCUAUGGCAACUGUUUCUUCCCGAUAACAAUCACAGCUCCCUGCGACUUGCUUAAACAAGCAUCAGCAAUCGAAGUGAUUAAACUGAUACGAGAAGCCAAGACUAAGCUACCUUCUGAGUUUGGUAAGUUCAAGAAUGGAGAUUACUUGAGAAAUGGGAAGGACCCAUUUCUAGCACCUCUAGGGUACACCACUUUGUUUAUAUCGGAAUGGGGUAGGUUGGGGUUCAACCAGGUUGACUAUGGGUGGGGCCCUCCGGUCCACAUGGUUCCAAUUCCGGGUUCUAGCAUCAUCCCUGUUGGCAUCAUGGGAUCGUUGCCAUUGCCUAGAAAGGGUGUCCGCUUGAUGACAUGGUGUGUUGAUAAAGACCAUACCCAGCCCUUCGUUGAUCUGAUGACGAAACUAGUCUAACAAGUUACCAAUGCUUGAAGUCUUGAACUGCUAUUGCUUUACCCAACGCCAAUGUCUAAAAUAAAACAACACAGCGCCACCACAUGUUCAAAACAUUUGUGGUUUUUAUUUAUUCCGUUUAAUAACAUUGUAUUUGGUAUUAUCUUGAUCUUCAAAAUCAUCUUUUUAUUAAAAUUAUCUCAUUCACUUGUGGUCAUUUUCAAAUAAAAUUAUUAUUUCUCAAUAAGUAAAUGCCAUUGUGUUUAGUUUUAUUAGAAAGCAAUUUUAUUUUAUUUUUUUUUAUGUUUUGUUCAUAUUUGAGAUUUGAGAUUACCCUUCCCAUCAAUAUUAUUUUUUUAUAGUAAAAUAAUCAUAAUAUAAGAAUUACAUAAUUAACUAUAUAUAUAUUUUUAGAAAACUAUUGAUGGUUUAUUUACUUUAUAAUAAUAUAUAACUAAAUUAAGGCUAUGCUUGUUUCAUUAAAAAUGGUUUUCGAAAAAUAAUUUCUAGAAAAUGACUUAUCUUUUUGGAAUAGUUGAUAUUUUCUGGUGUUUGGAUGAAUCUGUGUAAAAUAUUUUCUAUUGUUUAGUAGAGUUCUUGCAAAUAUUUCAUAAAAUUUGUUUUCAAUGAAAAAAACAUACAUUUGAGAUUUUAUUAUCUUUUCAUUGUUUAAUUGAGUUUAUUUCAUAAAGCUUAUUUAUAUUUUAAUUAAUCAUGUUUUAGUUUUAUGUAAUCUUAAUAGUUUUAUUUAAUCUUAAUUUACUUAAUUAAGCUUAAUUGUUAAUUUCAUACAUUAGGGCAUAUAAAUUUAUGUUUAAUUAAGUUGAAAGUGGCAAAUAUAUCAUUUUUAAUAUUAUUUGGAUGAGUAGGUUAAAAAAAUGAUUUAAUUUGAUAAAAAUUGAAGUAAGUAAAUUAUAUGAUUAUGAAAUAUGAAAUUUUGGAAAGUUGAGCAUAACAUAGUAAAGUUUGAAAUUAUAGGGGUUAAAUUGUAAAGAUUUCAAAACUUGAGUUUUAGGACAAACUUACAUUAUUUGAGAAUUUAAAAUUUUGGAAAAUAGAAUAUGAAAGUUUAACUGUUCAAAACUCAAGGACUAAUUUUUGGAAAUUUUGACAAUUUUAGUUGUAAGGACUAAAUUAUUAAAUCUGAAAAUUUUAGAAAAUGGACUAUUUUGCAAAACUAUACAAAACGAGGUUUAGGAUUGAACUGUGGAAUAAGAAAAUCUGUUUUUGAGGAAUUAAAUUGUAGACUAGUAAAAAUUUGGAUUUUAAGGACUAAAUCAUAAAAAAUAUAAAAUUGAAAUACAAUGGGCUAUUUUAUUCGACAGUGAAGAGAGCUUCCCCUCUGUUGCUUUGAAAACUUCCCCUUUUUAUUUCUUCGACAAUGAAGACAUUGAACAAAAUCUUAUCUGCUUAGAAAAUGUCUUACGAAAAAAAAAAUUGGUAUUACAAUCUUCACUUAUCUAUUAUAUUGCUCAAUACAUUCAUGAAUAAUAUUACUAAUUUUGUCAGCUCUAAUAGUUACCAUGAGUAUUUACUAAUUAUUUUUUGGAAGAAAAAAAUAAUACCUACAAUCUACAAUAAAGUAGAAGGUAAAAAAAAAGGCUAAUCAGUUACUUCUUUCAUCACCCCAAACAAGCCAAUAUUAGCGCUAAGAGUGCGAAAAUGUAACUCGCUGUUUACAAAACUAUUCGGAGUUCUUAGAGCUCCUUGUAAAGCUUGUUGGAAAAUUCAUUGUCGAGCUUGAUUAAUUGCUCUUUGUUGUUCAAAAUAAAUGAUUUCAUUUUUGUAAUUUUUUAAUUCAAAAUCUUAUAAAUUGAAUUAACCAAAUUCAAUUUUUCUCGUUCUAUUUCAGAGAAAGCUUUGAUUUUACUCUCUUUUUAGAGAAUAAUUUCUUUUGAUCAUUUAUUUUUCACUAAACAAAUACUGUAAAAUAAUGAAAAUAUUUUACGAAAAAUAUUUUACAUGCAAAACAAAUAGACCAUGGGUAAAUUUUUUUAAAUAUAAAUUACGUUAAAAUAAAAAUAGUUUAUUAUAUAUAAAAGUAAAAUGUGUGCAAACUGCAAAAUCCGAGGGGUGCCAGCCAUACUUGAACUACUAUUUACUGGUGGCCGACUUAUACAUAAUAGUUGUCUGGACAGUUGGCCCAUUAGUGUAAGAUUUGUUAAUUUGAAUAAACUCGAAGCCCAAAACUGACUGAUUUAGGUCAUGAGUUGCAGUGUAGACAAUACCAUUGAAGGUGGCCCAUACCCAGAUGAUAAUCGAAUAUUGAUGGUAAUGAUUUGAUUUCCUCGAUAUUUUUUAAAGAUUAAAAGAAAAUAAUGUUUUAUCAUCAAAUCGAUCCCAUGUGCCUGGUGGGAAUCAAUGCUAUUCUCAACUUGAGAUUUGGAUUUUUUUGUCCAUUUUGCGGAUGGCAUUGGAAAAUUCCGCCCAAACUCACCGGAGACGGAUGAUAAUGUCAAAAUGCACCCAAACUCUUAUUUUUCUUGGUGGGUUAGUCGUUUUAAUGUCAUCGAGGGCGAGGCGACUACAAUGGGAGUUUUAUUAGGGAAUGAUUUUCUUCCAGAAUUCUUGUUUUACCACUUCAAUGCUCUCAUCAUGUAAGACUUUAAAAUUUCAUCCAUAUGUGAAGACAUGAAUUUUAAAUAAACGAAAAAGGAAAAUCAUCAAAAUUAAAUUAUUAAAACCUUAUUUCCCUCUCAAAAGACGUGAUUGAUCUAAGUAAUUGUAGUUAGUGGUAGAGUCAAGAAGUUGGUAACCGCUCGAUUUUCCUAAAUUAAAUUUUUUUUAUAAUUUAUAAAAUUUGAAAUUAAUAAUAAUAAAAUUGUAUUUUAUUUCUUCAAAAAUGAUAACAGAUUUAUCCAAACACUAAAAUAUACUAACUUUUCCAAAAAAAUAAAUUUUUUUAGUGAAAUUAUUUUUCAAAAACCAUGUCGAAUGAAAUAAGCGGAGCCUAAAUAUAAACAUCAUAUAGUAUAUUAAGCCAGCAACAAUAUUAGCACAUGCAACGAUUGCCUUUUGGUUUUCAUUCACAACGUGAGGAGCCUCUGACGUAUCCUUUGGUGUACUGCAGGCCCAUAUUAGGUGAGGAAAGUAGGUAAGGCAUUUAGGAACCAGUUGAUGUUUAUAUGAUGGAAUCCUUACCUAUGAUAACCCAACGCGAACAUUUUAUCCUACUAAAUAUUGCCAAUUACAUGUCGCCUUUCUGUUGCAACCGGCCAUAUGCCAUUUGGUACCUGCUUCAGCUCGUUUGUCUCCAUUUGAUUUCUAAUUUUUUUUAUCAAUUUAAUACUUAAAUUUAGUUUUAAUGUUUUAUUUGAUAAUUGAGUUUUUUUUUAAAUUGAUACUUAAUAUUUUUUUCUGCACAAUUAUUUAAAUUUAACUUCAGUAUUCAAUUUGAUACAUUAAUUUUUCUUUUAAAAUAUGAAAUUUAUUAAGAUAUAUCAUAAAAAAAUUAAAACACCAAGAGUAAAAUAUACACAACAAAACUAUAAUAUGUGCAUUAAAAUUUAUAUAAAUAAAUUUUAAUUGAGCCAUUAAUUACAAAAAAUCCGAAAGUAAACUAAAAUUAACGGGAAUAUGAUGCAUAUAAACGAACAUGCCAAAAUCUACAUGAAUCAAAUUGUUAAUGUAUAAAAAUUAUAAUAAUUUGAACACACAUGUAUGUAUGGCCCAGUCUUAAAUUGUUUUUUAAACUUUGAAAUAUUCUAAUUGAAUCUUGAAAGUAUCAAUAUCACAUCAAAUAUGCUCUUUUAUUAGUCUAGUCAUUAGUUCGGGUGUUAAAUGCUAAUUUAAAAUUGAUGUGGAGCAUAUUUAAAAUAUGUUGAUCAAAUUAUAAACAUAUAUGUAACUAUUGCAUGAAUAACUCAGAUUUAAUGUUUUUAAUUAGAAAAAAAAAUGACCCUCUUGAUACAAUUUAUUUUUCAUAUUUAACAUGUUUAUGUGAUAAGUACACACGUUUUAACAAUUUGUUCACCGUAUUUAAAAUAUACUCAAUGUCAAAUUCAAACUAAUUUCAAUGUCUAAUCUAACAUAAUGACAUGAUUGAUAUAAUAUUAAUAUUUUGAAAUGGGAGUGGACAAGUUAGAAGUGGAAGGCAAAGCAUUAACAAUUAUAAAGAAAAGUCGGUCCAUAGCCAUUGGCAAAUUAGAAAUAAGUGCAUACAUCAGAGACAUUCAUCACAAGAGGAUUUCAAAGCAUUCAUUUCAAACAUGUACAAAGAUCAACCAACAUAAUUGUUGUUCCAAUAGGGUCGGAAGCGUGUAAAUUAUUGUACUAAAAAAAUCACACAAAGUUCAAUUCCCAGGGAAGAGAGGUGGAUCACAUGGAUCUCUUAAAUACCAAGUCUUUCCUUAGACAGAAUAUCCCUUCUAUAGUAAUUUAAUAGCACAAUUAAAUACUACUAUUAUACCCUCAAAUAUUGAAAGAAAAAUAGGACAAGAAAGAACACAAGAGUUUUAACGAGGUUCGGUAAAUUAUACCUACGUCCUCGGGCACUAACACCAAAUGAUAACUUUACUAUCUUCAAAGUAUUACAAACAAAUAGAAUUCCUUAAGAAUUCUCAAAUGGGAGAAAAAGAAAACUAAGAGAGAAAGAUUGGUUGGGAUGAAUUGAAAUGAGAAAUGAGAAGGCCUAUUUAUAGUUGAGGUUCAAGGACCAAACAAUAAAUAGCCCAUUAUCUCAAGGACCAAAAAAAAAUUAUCCCUUGCCACUUUUCUAAAGUUGGUGGUUGUCAUUAUUGAUUGUCUCCCAUUAAUGUUAAUGGCAACCAUUAUUAAUUGUCUUCCAUUAAUGUUAACAAUCUCCACCUUGAAGAUUUGAUUAGGAUAAUCACAUCUUCACACACUUCCUUCAACUCCCCAAAUUCGAUAAAGCUAUCUUUUGUAGUGCCUACAAAUGCGCUCUCGAGCGCCAUACACCUGAAGGUGCUCAAAUUCUCAGGAUUUUAAUCAAGUUCAAACAAUGAUUAAACUUGAUUGUUAUUACCACCUUGGUCAUCAUAUCUGCGAGAUUAUCUGCUGUCGAAAUCUUCUGAAGUAGAAUUUUUCCUUUUUCAAAGACUUCCCGCACAAAGUGAUAUCUUACGUCGAUAUGCUUGGUUCUUGAAUGAUAGACUUGAUUUUUCGCUAAAUGAAUAGCGCUCUGACUGUCACAAUAUAAACUUAUGUGACUUUGAACAACUCCUAAGUCUUUCAACAAUCCAUUAAGCCAAAUAGCCUCCUUAACAGCUUCUGUAACCGCCAUAUAUUCUGCCUCUGUAGUAGAGACAGCUACUGUAGACUGUAAGGUAGACUUCCAACUUACUGGGGCUUUCGCAAGAGUAAACAGAUACCCCGUAGUUGAACGACGUUUAUCUAAAUCACCAGCAAAGUCGGAAUCAACAUAUCCAACUACAAACUGACCAAGUGCUUCAUCCUAUUCAAAAAUUAAACCAACAUCUACGGUUUUUCGAAGAUACCGUAGAAUCCAUUUCACAGCUUGCCAAUGUCCUUUUCCAGGAUCAUGCAUAUACCUGCUCACAACUCCAACAGCUCGUGAAAUGUCAGGCCUCGUACACACCAUCGCAUACAUCAAACUCCCAACUGCAUUAGCAUAUGGGACUUUCGCCAUAUAUUCUCUUUCUUCUUCAGUUUUCGGAGAUAAUUGAGCACUAAGUUUCAAAUGAGAAGCAAGUGGGGUACUUACAUGUUUUGUGUUUUCAUUUACACCAAAACAUUGUAAUACCUUUUUCAGAUAUUGCUUCUGAUUUAAACAGAGCUUGCCUCUCGGUCUAUCUCUACUUAUCUCCAUGCCGAGAAUCUUCUUGGCCUCACCUAGAUCUUUCAUCUCGAACUCUUGAUUCAACUGAGCCUUCAGCUUAUCUAUCUCAUUUUGGCUCUUCGAAGCGAUUAACAUAUCAUCAACAUACAAGAGUAGAUAAAUGAAAGAUCCGUCAUGCAGCUUCUGCAAAUAUACACAAUUGUCAUAUUUGCUUCUUGUGUACUUCUGCCUUCUCAUAAAGCUAUCAAAUCGUUUGUGCCACUGCCUCGGGGAUUGCUUCAAUCCAUAUAGCGAUUUGUUCAGCUUACAAACCCAAUUUCUACCACCAUCAUCUGUGUAUCCUUCGGGCUGAGUCAUAUAGAUCUCCUCUUCUAACUCUCCAUGCAAGAAAGCCGUCUUAACAUCAAGUUGAGCUAGCUCCAAAUUCAACUGUGCUACCAAGGCCAACAAAAUUCUAAUGGAGGAAUGCUUCACAACAGGGGAAAAUACAUCAUUGUAGUCAAUUCCCUCCUUCUGAGCGUAGCCUUUAGCUACCAAUCUUGCCUUGUAGCGAAUAUCCUUCUUGCUAGGAGAUCCAUCUUUCUUUGCGAAUACCCACUUGCAUCCGAUUGCCCUUUUACCUUUCGGUAAUUACUCUAACUCCCAAGUAUUGUUCUUCCGGAGAGACUGCAUUUCUUCAUCCAUGGCGCUUUUCCAUUUAUCACUUUCUAAGCUUUGCAUUGCUUCUUGAUAAGUGAUAGGAAUAUCAUCAACAACGGGAAGGGCGUAGGCCACCAUAUCAGUAAAUCGAGCAGGUUUACGAAUUUCUCUCCUUGGCCUUGCAACUGCAACUGGUUCUGGUGUACUUAGUGGUUCUUGGGUCAGAACCUCUUCAACCUCUAAUUCCUCCAUUGUGGCUGGAGAAUUAGACUUAUUAACUGGGCAAAUCCCCAUCUGCUCAAACUCCACCUGUUUUGGAGUACACUCCACCUGCUGUGGAGUAUUGCUCGUCUGAAUAUCUUUAUCUGCUACCUUUUUCAAUGUGGCAGAUUCAUCAAAGGUAACAUCUCUGCUACAGAUCAUUUUCUUUGUGCUUAAGCACCAAAGACGAAAUCCCUUCACUCCAGAAGUGAUUCCCAUAAAGAGAGCUUUCUUUGCCCUCGGAUCUAACUUUGACUCCUUCACAUGGUAAUAUGCAGUGGAUCCAAACACAUGUAAGGAAUCAUAAUCUGUAGCCGGUUUUCCAGACCAUACCUCCAUAGGAGUUUUUCUUUCUAAUGCAGAUGAUGGCAAACGAUUAACAAGAUGGCCAGCGUAUGUCACAGCCUCAGCCCAAAAUUACUUGCCCAACCCAGCAUUGGACAACAUACAUCGAACUUUCUCCAGCAAUGUUCGAUUCAUACGCUCUGCCAAUCCAUUCUGCUGUGGUGUAUCCCUAACUGUGAAGUGUCGAACAAUACCAUACUCUUGGCACACAUCGAAGAACGGAUCACUUUUAUAUUCCCUUCCAUUGUCCGUCCUAAGCCGCUUGAUUUUCUUGCCAGUCUGGUUUUUGAUCAUAGUUUUCCAUUUAAGAAAAACUCUAAGCACUUCAUCCUUAGUUCUCAUGGUAUACACCCAAACUCUUCUGGAAAAGUCAUCAACAAAAGUAACAAUGUAGUGUUUUCCUCCCAAUGAAGGUGUCUUGGAAGGCCCCCACACAUCUGAGUGAACAUAUUCCAAAAUACCUUUUGUAUUAUGGAUAGUAGUACCGAAUUUCACUCUCUUUUGCUUUCCCAGAACACAAUGCUCGCAAAAUUUUAAUUUGCAAGCCUUUGCACCUUUCAACAAUCCUUGCUUUGCCAGAAUUUGCAAAGAUUUUUCGCUGGCAUGUCCCAACUUCAUAUGCCACAACUGUAUUGAGUCCAAUUCUUUGUUGCCAGAAGCUGCAGCGACUGCUCCAAUAACUGUACUACCUUGGUAGUAAUACAAGUUAUUUUUCCUGAUGCCCUUCAAUAUCACAAGUGCGCCAGAUGUCACUUUCAAAACCCCAUCUCUCAUAGUAACAACUGAACCAUUGGAUUCCAGGGCUCCCAAUGAGAUGAGAUUUUUCUUCAAACUGGGCACGUACCGAACAUCAGUCAGAACUCUGGUUGAUCCAUCUUUAUUCUUUAAUUGGAUUGAACCUAUCCUAACAGUUUUACAGGCAUUGUCAUUGCCCAUAUAAACAACUCCUCCAUUUAGUUCUACUAAAUCAGAGAACCACUCCCGGUUAGGGGACAUAUGAUAGGUACAACCCGAAUCCAAUAUCCACUCAUCUGAAUGGAAUGACGAUGAUGAUGCAACCAGUGAUAGUUUAGAGUCACUGGUAUCAUGCUUUGCAACACAAGCAUCUACAGCAGCUUUUCCCUUAUUCUUCAACUUUGGACAAUUUUUCUUCCAGUGGCCUUUCUCAUGACAAAAAGCACAUUCAUCUUUCCCGAGUCUGGACUUUGACUUUGAUCUCCCCUUUUGAGUUUUCUUCCGAGUGUAUGAACGACCUCGGACUACUAAAGCUUUUGUAUCUCUGAUUGAGUUUUUCUGUUUGUCCUUCUUUCUCUGUUCAUAACUGUAUAAGGCCGCACAGACUUCGCUCAGAGAUAUAUCACUCCUGCCAUGAAGUAGAGUAGUUUGUAGGAACUCAAACUCCUCAGGAAGUGACCCCAACAGCAUCAAAGCCAAAUCUUCAUCUUUGAAUGUCUCAUCCAUAUUCAGCAAAUCAGUGACUAACUGAUUAAAUUUGGUGAUGUGAUCAUUCAUUGUGGUACUUGGGACGUAUGUGAAGCGAAACAGUCUUUUCUUCAAGUGGAGCUUAUUUUGACUGUUUUUCUUCAAAAAAAUUUCUUCAAGUGCCACCCACAACUUAUUUGCAGAAGUCUCCUUUGAAAAAGCAUACCUCUGCUCUCGAGAAAGGCAUGAUCGAAUUGUGCCACAUGCCAACCGAUUGAUCGCCUUCCAAUCUUUCUCCUGUACAUCAUCUGGUUUCUCUUCAUCAAUGGCAAUGUCUAGACCCUGCUGAAAAAGGGCAUCUAGAACCUCACUUUGCCACAUACCAAAAUGGCCCGUGCCAUCAAAGAUCUCCACGGCCAGUCUUGCAUUUGCAAUUGUCGGUCUUGUCCACAUGGACGAUGUUGAAGCUCCUACACCGACCGUUUUCUCCAUAAUCUUUCAAUAUACCUAAGAAAAUCUUUUCUGAUGUGGAAGAUCAGUUCAAACUGCAACCACAGAGUAUACUACGAUUAACCUUCGGCUCUUGAUACCACUUGUUGUUCCAAUAGGGUCGGAAGCGUGUAAAUUAUUGUACUAAAAAAAUCACACAAAGUUCAAUUCCCAGGGAAGAGAGGUGGAUCACAUGGAUCUCUUAAAUACCAAGUCUUUCCUUAGACAGAAUAUCCCUUCUAUAGUAAUUUAAUAGCAUAAUUAAAUACUACUAUUAUACCCUCAAAUAUUGAAAGAAAAAUAGGACAAGAAAGAACACAAAAGUUUUAACGAGGUUCGGUAAAUUAUACCUACGUCCUCGGGCACUAACACCAGAUGAUAACUUUACUAUCUUCAAAGUAUUACAAACAAAUAGAAUUCCUUAAGAAUUCUCAAAUGGGAGAAAAAGAAAACUAAGAGAGAAAGAUUGGUUGGGAUGAAUUGAAAUGAGAAAUGAGAAGGCCUAUUUAUAGUUGAGGUUCAAGGACCAAACAAUAAAUAGCCCAUUAUCUCAAGGACCAAAAAAAAUUAUCCCUUGCCACUUUUCCAAAGUUGGUGGUUGUCAUUAUUGAUUGUCUCCCAUUAAUGUUAAUGGCAACCAUUAUUAAUUGUCUUCCAUUAAUGUUAACAAUAAUUGCUCACAAACUAGCAUCAGAGAGUUUAAGAAGGAACAAGGAGAUUUACCUGGAAGUCGUGGUGCCGGAAUAUGCUCGGGUGUCGCUGGGAUCAUGACAUCAGAGAGAACGAGAACUCGAUUGAAGAGUGUUUUAGGGUUUCUGAAGAUCAAGGAGAACGAUAGAUAGUGAUCUUGGAGAAGACUAAUCGUGAGCCUCGGAGAACUGUAACUGACAAUAGAAGUAAUAUAAGCUUUCUAGAAAAGCUUGAAAUGGGUGACAGUUCAUUUUCAGAUUGCAUUGAGAUUUUUUUUGUUGUUUUUUUACUUUCCUUUUCCUAGAUAGAUGUUUCUGGAUUAAGGCCGUUAGUUUUCGGCCCAUUCUCUUUUGGUUUGCUUAGAUUUUGUUUUUGGAUUUAUUUAAUAUAGUUCAAUCUGAAUAUUUUUUAAUAUAUAUAUAUAUAUGUAUUCUGAAAAUUCAAUUAAAAUAUUUUAAAAUUUUAAAGAUUAGCUACAAUUAAUUAAUUAAAUUAACCUAAGGACAAAUCAUACUCUAUUAUUCCGAAACACCUUUCCUUAGUAGUACGCACAUGCCACCACCAUCUAUUCUAUGGCUAAUUAAAUAAUUAACAUAAAUAAAUUGUUAAAAAAUAUUAUUAUAUCGUCAUAGAAUUAGGCUAUCAAAUUCUCAAACUCUAGAUAGAGAAUUUUUUGGGAACAACCUUAAAAUUAGGGUAUAGAUUUGGUUUGAAAUUAAAAAUUUAAUAUUCUACCCCGUAUAUAUUAUGCUUAAGAAUAAAGGAAGGAAAUGUUCUUCGAAAAAAAAAAACCAAAGAGAGAAGGAAAUGUAUACGUAUGCGAAUAUCAUAUUUUAGAAGCAAUUUUAUAUAUAUUAAAUUACUUUAUUUGGUUGAAAUGUAAUAUUAUGUUGUUUGGGCUGUGGAAUGUAAAAUUAAUUUAAAAAGAUAUUUUAUUAAAUUAUUUUCCGUUAUAAAAAAAUAUAAAAAAAGUUAUUAAACUAUAUUUAAAACAAAAGUGAAAUAUGAAAAAAUAUAAAAAGUUAACACAAUAAUAAUAUAUAAAAGGUUUGACCCAAUCUUUGAGAAGGCCUGUAAAUUUUGUGUUGAUUUUUAAUAAUAUUCCUAGGACAGCCAAUAGGAUUACUCACGGUAAAGAAACGAGUUAUUGGAUUUUAAAGUUGAAACAUUCAUUCAUUAGCAAAAGAAGAUGAAAAAUGGAGUGUUAUUCGUACAAUUUUUCAUGGCAAUUACUCGGCAGAAAACAUCAAACAGAAAAUCCUUAUUACAGGACCAAGUUUACUGAGUUCCGUGUCUUCAACAAAUAUUUAUUCCAAUUUCAAAUGGACAACAACAAAGGGUUCACCACCUCAGUUUCUUAUGAAUCUAUUGCAUAAUGCUUUUUGAAUAAACUGCAAACAAUGUUUGAACAUUACACUAUAAAGUAAUGUUGAAUCACAUGCCGGCUUCAAGCCCUCCAUUCCAACAACAAUUAGGGAUAUGAGUUUUCCUUACCAACAAAUCCUACCCUUCAAGUUCGAGGCGGUUGGUUGGUAAAUGCCUAAUUACCUAUUGAAUUAUUCUCCUGUCCCACACCUAUCUGCUUCUUCUCAUAAUUUCUUCUGACUUGUUUUUAGUUUCUCACAUUAGAUUUCUAAUUUUAUACAAAGAUUUUCUUCAGAAAAUAUAAAGUCAGUUUUAAUCUAUUGGUUUCUCCAACAUCAUUUUGUCUGACUUGUUUUUUGUUUCUCACAUUAUAUUUUUAAAUAUAUCAUCAAUUCUUUUAUACAAUUAAACGGUAAAUUCACAAACAUAAAAUUUAACUCGAAUUUUUCAUCAAAAAGAGUUCAAUUUCAUUAACUAUGGAAAUUCAAUUGACCAAUUAUUCCCAUCUCUAUUUUUUUUCCUUAAAAGAUAAAAAUAAUUGCAAAAUAUAAAAAAAAUUAAAAAAAUGUUGAGAAAGAAGAUAUCAUUUCUUUUUACGUUUAUUUUUUUGUAUUUUCCUAUAAUUAAGAAUAAAAAAAUUAUUAAUUAGAUUCUUAACAUUAUUAAUUUUUUUUUCAAAAAUAAAAUAAAUGUGAUUGGGUUAGGUAUGGAUUAUUUUAACUUAAAUUAUGGUUGGGUUCUCUCUAUUUUGUUUAAUUUUAAGAAAAUAGUUCCUAUAUUUUUAUAGUAUCAUUAAUGAGUACAAAUAGUUAACACCCUUAGUUAUUUUGGUUUAAUUGUUGAAGCGAAAUUUUUUCUGAAAAAUACAGAUUUUAAUUUAUCAUAUAGAGAUAGAUAUUUUUGCAUGGUAGGUGUUUUAAAAAGAAAUUAUCUCCACAUUUUAUCAAAAUAGUUGUGGAUACCAAGCAUAUCUUAUGGAAAUGGAACUCUAACUUAGAAGUUUUCGAUCGGUAAGAGGUGUACAUUAGGGAUGUCCAUUGUCUCUUUAUUUAUUUGUCUUGUGUAUGGAAUGGCUCAGACAUACUAUUCUUUCCGAUGUCAACUCUGGGCGAUGGAUUCCUAUUUGUCUAUCUCGUUCAAGUCCCUCUCUUUCCCAUCUUUUCUUUGCUGACAACUUGAUUCUCUUUGGUCAAGUUGGGGAAAGUCAAGCUAGGGUUCUAAAAGAAGUGUUGGACAAUUUUUGUGACUAUUCUAGACACAGGAUUAAUGCUUAUAAAGCUAAUAUCUGUUUUUCAAAGGGAGUGAAUGAUGAGUUAGCAGGACGCGUAUGUCAUAUCCUCGGGUUUCAUAGAGUUCAAAAUCUUGGAAAAUAUUUGGGUGUUCCUCUCUUUCACGAUAGAGUGACUAACAAUUCUUUGCGUUUUAUCGUUGAUAACGUCCGUAGUAAAUUACAAAGUUGGGACACUAGGAAGUUGUCACUAGUCGGAAGGGCCACUUUGGCCCAGUCGGUUUUGAUGGCAAUUCCUAGCUAUUUUAUGCAAUCAAUGAUGAUUCCCAAAGGGCUCUGUAAUAUCCUGAUUUUGGGCCUAGUCGGAAUAGUGGUUUCGUGACCACAAAAUCCGAGAUAGAAAUAAUUAUUUUAUAAUUAUUUUGAGGUCUAUGAUAUGAUUGCAUGAUUGUGUGAAAAUUUCGUGAAGAAAUUUUAUGCAUAAAGUGCUUAAAUUGAAAUUAGGGAAUAACUCGAAUAAUUUGUAAAACUUGCAUUCUAGAAGUUUCUAGUAUGAAAUUGUUUUGAAAUAUUAAUUAGGAGGUCUUAAAUAGAAAAUUUACCAAUUUCUAAGUCUAUGGAGAAAAAUUGGACAUGGAUGGAAUUUUUGGAAAGUUUAGUAGUAAGGGCAUUUUGGUCAUUUAGGGGUAAAAUGAAUUAAAAUACAAAAUUAAAAGCCAAUUUUGCUCAUCUUCAACCCCAUGGCCGAAUACAGCAAGGAGAAACCAUGGCUAGGGUUUUUCAAGCUUCCAAGCUCGAUUGUAAGUCCGUUCUAGUCUCGUUUUUAAUGAUUUUUACAUUUUUGGAAUCCCAGUAAUUUGAUUUAACUUAUUCUAACAAUAAUUUAACCUAGGUUUUAUAUUUGGAAAAAUACCCAUAGGUGAAAUUUGUGUAUUUUGGUGUUUUAUGAUAGAAUAUAAGGUUUUAAAUUAUGUUAGACAACUUGUGCUACUCGGUUUUAAGUGAAAACGAGCAAAAGGGCUUAAUCGGUAAAAAUACCUAAUAGUCAUAAGUACAUGUUAGAGUGAGAAUUUGAUGUUGCCAUAGAAGGGAAAAAUGAUCAGCAUGUCAUAAAACAUAAGAAAAUAGGCUGAAGUUUAAUUUACGAGCUUUGGGUCAAAAGUGUAAAUAUGUAAAAGUUUAGGGGCAAAACUGUAAUUUUUCCAAAAUAUGAUUUUGGGUCAAUUUGAAUAAUGUGAGUCCUAAUUAGACUAUAUUUUAAAUGAUAGAGCAAGGAAAACUAAAAUUCGGGCUAAAAUAGGGAAAAUACCAAGUUAUGGACGAAAUGGUAAAAGUAGCAAUUUUCGCAUACGAGGUAAGUUCAUGUGUAAAUAAUGUAGCAUAAUUGUUAUUUUUAAGUUAUUGAUGUUAAUUAUAUGAUACGCUGAUUUUUAAUCGUGAAAUAUUAUGCUUUGUGGUUAAUGUUGAGUAAUAUGCAAAUUAUGUUUACUACUUGAUAAAUAUGAAUUGCUACCGAGUAUCGGUUCCGAUAUUCCAUGGAAGACGACAAAUGUGAGAUCGAGGGAAAAAGCCCGUUUGAACCUUAGGAAUAGAUUAGGAUACAAGUGACAUGUCACUAGGAUGUUUGAGCAUUCGAACUCGUUGAGUUGAGUCCGAGUUCACUUAUGGAUGCGAAUGUCUGAACUCGUUGAGUUGAGUCCGAGUUCGAGCGAUGUAACUAGGCAUCCGAGCUCGUUGAGUUGAGUCCGAGUUCACUUAUGGAUGCGAACACCCGAGCUCGUUGAGUUGAGUCCGAGUUCACUUAUGGGCGGGUUACAUGGUAGCUUGGCUACAUAUGUGGCACUUAUGUGCAAACUUUCCAUGUAUCCGAAUUAUAUUCCGAUGUGUUCAACGGGUAAAAUUCUACUCAAAUGGAGGAAUACUCGAGAUGAAAGGGACGUAUUGGUAAGUGUUGUGAAAUGAAUACUUUGAACAGGUAUGUACUUAACCCUCGGGUUGAAAACUCGAUAUAACAACAAUAUGGUAAGAUGAUAAAUGAAAAUGUGAUAUGAAUGUCUCGAUGAUGAUUUUGCAAAUGAUGUUUUAUGUUUGCUUAUAUAGUUAUGUUACUUGCUAUUUGCAUGUGAACUUACUAAGCAUUUAUGCUUACUCCCUCCUUUUCAUUCCUUGUAGUGUUGACAAGCCAGCUCGGAAAUCGGAAACGGUCAGAGGCACGCUCACACUAUCCGUAUACCAUCUUGGCAUAAUGGCUUGUAUAUUUUGAGUAUGACAUGUAUAGCAUUAUAAUCAUUUUGUGUAUAUGGUCUUAUGAUAUGGUUAUUGAGUGGUAUGGAAAUGCUUGGUAAUGAUUAGCCAUUGGAAUGGGUAAUCAUGAUCAUAUUUGGUGUUAUGUAUGCUAAAUUGCUAGCUAAUCCAUGGAAACCAUGAAAUAGGUAAAAUUUACCAUAAAAUAGAUUCAGACAGCAGCAGUGACGUGAGUUUGAAAAAUCACUAAAAAUAGUAUAGAUACAAUUAGAUGAUGAAUAAUAUAUGGAAUUGAAGAAUUAUGAGUCUAUUUUCAUAUGGAUGGAACAAAACAGGUAUAUGAGUUAUAUUUUAUGAGAUGUUUAAAUUUUUGUGAAACAGGCCCAGAGCAAUUUCUGGAUCCCCUGUUCUGACUUUGGAAAUUCACCAUAAAUUGUUCAAAGAUAAUUAGAAGUCAUAAUUUAUAUGUACAGAUUCCUUAUUGAGUCUAGUUUUAUUAGAAACAAACCUUGUAGUCAUUGAAAUUCUUUAUAGAGAGAUAUCUGAUUCGUAAUACACAGAUGUCAGAGCAGUCGAACCCUGAAACAGGGGAGACUUUAACUAAUAAAAUGUACUAAUUUUAUCAACCAAAAAUUCUAUAAAAAAAAUUAGUAAAUAUAUAUAUGAGUCUAGUUUCAGAAAAAAUUUACGGAAUUGGAUUUCGAGUUUCGUAACUCGAGAUAUGAAUUUUUAAGCGACUAUGACGCAGAUUGUUAGCUUGACUUAAAAUUUUAAAAAUAAAUUGUUUGAGCUGUUUAAGUAAUGAAUUAAGUCUAUUAACACCUCGUGUUCGACUCCGGCGACGGUCUCGGGUACGGGGCGUUACAGGCUCUAUGAGGAAAUAGAAUGAAUUGGUUAGACAAUUCAUCUGGGGGUCUUCUAAUGGUGAGAAGAAAUUGGCUUUGGUUAGUUGGGACAACAUUUGCCAACCUCGGGAUCAUGGUGGUCUAGGUUUUCGAAAGUUGAAAGAUCAUAACACCUCUUUUAUGAUGAAAUUGGGUUAUAGUAUUAUAACUGAUUCUAAGGCGCUUUGGGUUAUGGUUCUAAGGUCCAAAUACAAUAUUUCAAGUGGAUUUCCAGAAACAUUGUCGCGGGGAAGAGGUUCUUUCUUGUGGACAACCCUCACUAAAGCUUGGCCACUUAUUCGAGAGAAUUUGAUAUGGUCAGUAGGGGAUGGUACUAAAUAUUAGGUGUUUGUGUGACCCUUGGAUCUUGAAAGCGGGAUCGUUGGCUAAUAUUAUUCUUAGACAUUCCACUCUAGACAUGGAUUGUCUUUUGAGUGAUAUGGUGACAAAGGAUGACGAUUAGAACCUAGAUCUCUUUCGUCUUUGGCUCCCAAAGGAGGUGAUUUGGAAGAUUGUAGAGAUCCCUCUGCCUCAUCCGGAAGCAGGGCCUGAUAGGAUAAUUUUAGGAGGUAUCUCUACAGAUUCAUUUUCCCUAAAAAAAGCCUAUAAGAAGCUCCAAAAAAGGUUAUGGAAUCCAAAAGACCGAUGUGGCGCAUCCCCUAAAAAUUUUAAGGGCCCUGUGACAGCCCUAAAUUGACCCUAGUCGGGAAAUGGUUUCGGGACCACAAAACCGAGUCAUAAAAAUAAUUAACCGUUAUUUUCUAUGCUUAUUGUGCGUGAACAUGCAUGUGUGAAAGUUCCAAUCUUUAAUUUAUUCAUUUGAAUGUGAAUUUAUUUAAUAGGACUUAUAUAAGACAUUUUUAAAAUGUGAUAGGUUAAUGUGUAAGGGUCUAUUAAUGCAUGUUAUAAAAGUAUGGACUUGCAUGUCAAAUUGUCCAUUUUAGUUAGUGGCCGGCCAUGUUGUUAAUUAUUAUAUAACAUAGAUAUAUUUAUUUCUAUUAUAUGGUUUUAUAAUAUAGAAUAAGGUUAUUAAAGAUAGAAAAGGGGUGAAGAAAAAAAAAGAAUUCAUCUUUACUUCCUUCUAGCCGAAAAUAAGAGAGCAAAAGAGGAAAUAGCUUAAGUCUUUCGGUCACCUUUGAGCUGGAAAUUAAGGUAAGAAAUUCAAGUUAGUUUUUUUAAAUCUUAGCAUAGUUUAAGCUAGAUCCUAAGUUCCUUACUUAGCCCAUGCCAAAAUUUUGAAGUUGAUGGUGAUAUGAACAUUCGGCUAUGGAAGAUGUUAAAGAGAAUGGUUGUAAUGUUAUAUAUAUUUUGAUAGUAUAUUAGAUGGUUUGAGAUUUGAGCUAGUUACAUGUGCUAUUAUGAAGAUUUAUGGAUGUUUUAGAAUCGGCCUAAGUGUUUUAGUCAUUAAUAUAUAUAUUGCCGAAUGGAUGCUUAAGGAAUUGGUUAAGUACAUUGUUGUUAAAGCUUGUUGUUUUUGUAUAAUUGUUGCCUAGCUACUAAAUGAACUUAGGGUAUUAUAGAUAAGUUUAAGAGUGGCAUAAUUGAAAUGAAGUUUCCUUGUGCCGAAUGUGGUUUUAGUGCAUGAAUUAGGAGUUUAAUUUCAUUCGGUAACUCAUACCAAAUUGGGAGAUAGUAUUAAACAUUAGUAUUAUUUGUUAAAAAAAAAUUGAAGUGAGCUUUGAAUGGUUGUUUUGCUUAUAAUGGCUGAAUGUGAACUUAAGUUUUGAAUUACAAUUGAAGCUUGUUAGUCAGUUGAUGAUGUCCUUUGAUAGCCCUUUUGAUAUUCGGCCAUUGUUAAUGAAUUUUGAAUUAGUUAUAAAUUUCUAUGUUUUAAUUAGCAAAUUUAAUUAUUGAAGGUUGAGCUAAUUAUAUAUGAUGAUAUGCUCUAAACUCAAAUGGUAAGUUCUUAAGUGUUUGGACUUGGAAAUUUAAGAGCAAAUUGUAAUAAUCUGCUUAGGACAGCAGCAGUAGCGUGAUUUUUGAAAAUCACCAUAAAUUGUUGGAGUGGAAUUAGAGACUGAAUAAAAUAUGUAAUCAAAGCUCAAUGAGUCUAGUUUCUUAUAAAAUAAACAGUGAAAGCAAAGGAAUUUUCUAUAGAGAGAUAUUUAAAGUUGUGUGUGACAGUGUCAGAAUGAAUCCGUGAUCCCUUGUUCUGUUUUUAGAAAAUCAUUAUAAAUAGUACAAAAAUUUUUAUAAGAUAAAAUUUAUAUUCUUAGACUCCUUAAUGAGUCUAGUUUCAAAUUAAAUAAACAAGAACAUAUUUUGAAAUCUGUACAAUGAGAAAUUUGAUUCGUAGUGAAGAGUGGUCAGUAUAGUCAAACAGUGAAAUAGGGGAAACUUUAAGAAAAUUCUGGUCUUGAUUGGCCAAACCAAAAAACCUUAAAAUUUUAUGGAUAAAAGGUAAAUGAGUCUAUUUUCAAGAAAAAUUUAUGGAAACUGAUUUGGAGUUUCGUACCUCCGGUUAUAAAUAAUUUAAUGACUGUUGCUCAGGAAGUCAGCUUAUAGUGAAAUUGUGAUUAUAUUGUAAACAUUGAUUCUUAUAAGCUUACUAUAAUCUGUAUGUGUGAAAUUCGAAUAUAUAUGUAUUAUAUUCUGAAAAUGAUAUUUGAAUAGUCGAUUAAUGAUUAGUUUAAAAUUUGUUGAAUUAAAGCUCAAGAGCAUAGGGGGGCAACUUCGAAUAAGGGAGAAGAGAAAGUAACCGAGUAACCAUUUCGCAACCGUUCAAAUAUAUCCGAGGUAAGUUUUAAGUAGUUUCCUUUAGUAUAUAAUUGACGAUGCCACUAUAAGGGUAUAGUAGGUAAAUUGUGAUCUUUGGCUUGCACUUAAAUUAAGAUGUAUAAUAGAUAAUGCAUGUAUAUGACUUAUAGUUUGAUGGCCACUUUGAAUUUAAGAUUAAAUGAUGAAUAGAAUGAGUGAUAUGAGAUAUAACCACUGAGCUGAAAUGUGAAUGAUGAUGUGCGUAUCGAGUUUAUAUUCGAAUGUAAUAUACGACUAUUAAGUGAUAAGGUGACUGUCAUGUGUUAUGACCAAAUGUGUAUGAGAUUGAAAAUAUCCGGACAUGAGGUCUGCAGGCUAUAUGCUGGAAAAAUAUCCGGACAUGAGAUCCGCAGGCUAUAUGCUAGGAAUAUAUCCGGACUUGAGGUCCGCAGGCUACGUGCUGGAAAAAUAUCCGGGUUAAAGACCCGCAGGCUUACGCUAGUAAUGUAUUCCGAGCUCUAAGAUUUGACAGAACCGAUGCCAGUAAGUUAAAUAAGAUUUCGACUUCGAAUAUCAGUGGUAAACAUCGUUGCGUAAGUAUUAUAUGUUUUACAUGUUAAGGUUCGUGUUAUGUGCUUAUAGUUGAAUUGAUUUUUUUUAGUGAUUUAAUAGUAUCAAGGCACGAAAUAUAUAUAUGUGCGUGAAUGAAUUCGGUAUUUGAGGAUAAGACAAUAAUAUAAUUGGUUAAUGUAAGUCACCAUAUGAAAGAAUGUGAUUAAAGGUAUUAGUAUAAUCUAUGUAAAUAGUGAAAUAUUUGCAAGAAGUCUUGUGUAUACAUACAUACAUAUCCGGUCAAGCGGUUUGUAACUAAUGUACUGAUGUAUAUUUGGUCAAGUGAAUUACAAUUAGAAUACAAGUUUUGUGAUACUCAAUGUUCAAUUUUUAUGAUGAGCAUUAAUAGUAUGAAUUACUUAAAACUUACUAAGCCUCGAAAGCUUACUCUGUUUCUUAUUUCUUUGUUUUAUAGAUUGUUGAUUUUGGCUAUUGACUCGGGGAUCGUCAGCAGUUCUUCAUACUAUCGAUCUUUUUGGUACAGUUAUAUUUUGGACUCGAUAUAGCAUGUAUAGGUUGGACUGUUGACAAAGAAAAAAAACAAAAAAAAAUAUGUUUUAAAAUUGUAAUUAUCUUGGCCGUAUGAAAAUGGCACUUAUGACUUAUAAAUAUGUAUGUAUUCAGUUCGAUUUAUACUUGUGUCGGUAGAUUAUGUGAUUGAAAUUAAAUGUUUAGCUUGGUAAUACCUCAUAGCCUAUACCGGCGAUCGGAUACGGGCUAGGGGUGUUACAGGCCCCAACAGGUUAGGUUCUUUAUUUGGCUUGCUUUCAAUCAACGCCUGCUUACCAAGAGGGAACUCGCACGAUGAAGACUAGGGCAUGAUUCAGUAUGUGACGUUUGUGGUCAUGGUUCAGAGGAUGUGUGUAAUACCCCCUACCCAUAUUCAUUACCGGAGUAGGAUACGAGGUAUUACCGGAGUUUACGAUUUUUUUUAUAUUCAAUAUAGCCCCUUUAUAAAUAUCUAACCUUCCCUGCAACAUUAAAUCGAGACCAAUCCACUUCAACCAAACCAAUUCAACAUAUUUUCAAGAUAAAUUCAUGCAUAUUUAUAAGAUAACGUCAUCACAUACCCAAAACUAGGUUUGUUAACCAUACUAAUGGCUAACUUUAUAUUCAUUUCAUGUUAACAUUUACUUUAUUAGCUUAUACAUGCCAUUGAUUUCCAAAAUAAAGUUUCUUUAUAUACCGAAAUCCUGAGGUUGAUAGUGUGAUGUGUCUCCGACCAAAUCCGACCUCCAAGCUCUUAACACUACAAAACAGGGAAAAAGGAAACGGGGUAAGCACUUCGUGCUUAGUAAACUCAUGUAACAAAAAUUAUACUUACCUAAUAUUUUCAAUACAAUACAAUAAAUAUUCAUAUAUCCAUUCAAUGCAGUAUUACCCUAAUAUGCACAAACUCAACAUUCAAGUUAGUAUAAUAAUUUCCAUGUACCAAUAAUAUAUACCAUCAUUGAUGAGCUCAUCAAUAUCAUAAUUUCCAUUUCCUUGUUAUUUUUCCAUAUUUAUCCCGUUGAAUUUAUCGGAAUUUCGAUGGAUUUUCAGAGGUACACUUUUAGUGUACAAUUCCGGGUCCGUCAAUUCAUAUUCAUGUGCGCACAUUUCCAUUUCAGAGAGCACACUCCCGCGAACCUUAACCUUGCAGCGGGAUUACCAGUCCAGGCUAAAUCCCCUGCAACGACAAUUACUCUAAUGAUCUUGGAUCUGAAUUACUAGUCCAGGCUAAAUUCAGACCCUAAUUCGGAUUACCCGUACGGGCUAAAUCCAUUUUACACAUAUUCUUCGGGAGGGCUAUAUCAGGAUAGGAUCACCCGUCCGGGCUAGAUCCUUUUUACCGUCAAUUCCUUUUCAGAGAUCCAUCGAAUUUUCCUUUCAUUCAAACGGGAUUUCUUCCCAUUUUAUCAAAUAUAUCAAUGUUUCAUUAAUUUUCAUACAAUGAACAUUCAAAUCAUAUUCACAUCAAUAACAUACAAUCUCAAGCAAUUUAAGAAUAUAAUUCAAGUUGCACGAACUUACCUUGAUACUUGUUUGUAAACAAAAAAAAAUCUACUAAUCCCGAACUUUUUCCUUUCCUCGAUCUAGCUUCGUAUUUGAAUCUUCUGGAUCUAAAUAAAUAAAUUUAAUUAUCAAUUUAAUACAUUUCAUGUUCAUAUGCAACAUUCUCUAUAAUUCAACUAUUAUUAUUUAUAGUUUAUUCAAAGCUAUCUAUUUGAGUCAUAGUCACUAAUUAUUUAUAACUCGAUCUACGGAACUCCAAAUUAAGAUCCGUUAGUUUUCCCUGAAACUAGACUCAUAUAUAUUCUUACCAUAAAAUUUUUAGAAUUUUUAGUUUAGCCAAUAAGUACAGUUUAUUCUUUAAAGUCACCCCUGUUCUGCUGUCUGACAGUUCUGACCCUUCUUCACUAAAAAUUAAUUAUCUCUUCAUACAGGAUUCAAAUGAUGUUCUUGUUUGUUUCUAUUAAAAAUAGACUCAUUAAGGAUUUUAUGCAUAUAAAUUUGAGCCCCUAAUUAUUUUUAUUCAAUUUUUUUUUAUUUUUCAAAUUCAGAACAGGGGAACCCGAAUUCAUUCUGAUCUUGUCUCACAAAAUUCAUUAUAUCUCAAAAUUUACAAAUCCAUUGCUUACACUAUUUCUUCUAUGAGAAACUAGACUCAAUAAGCUUUAAUUCCAUAUUUUGUUCAUCUUCUAAUUCGAUUUAUAAAAUUUAUGGUGAUUUUUCAAAGUUAGUCUACUGCUGCUGUCCAAACUGUUUUUGUGCAAGCUGUUUAUUACCAUUUUUCCCCUAAGCUUUUAAUAAAUGAUAAUUUCGUCCCUACUCAAUUAGCCUCUCAAUUGAGCUGAUUUUUCUCAAUUAAAAUUUUAUUAUAUCACCUUAAACUAGUUUACAACCUUUAGGAAUCAUAAUUUCAGCAAUAGACUUUAAUUCCAAGCAUUUUCACAAUUAGGUCCUAAAAAUCAAUUUCUAUUGAAAUUACCUAAUAAAAUCAUCUCAUAAACAAAUUAAAGCUUUAAUUUCAUUAUAUUUCAUCAUAAAAUUACAAAAAUCAACCAUGGUGACUUUCAAUUUCAUACAUGAAAUCAAAAACUAAUGAAUUUAAUAGUAGGACCUAGUUGUAAAAGUCUUAGAAACAUAAAAAUUACAAGAUAAAGGCAAGGAUUAACUCACUUGGUGAAAAAGUAUGAAAUAGCAGCUUAUAUAACCCUCCUAUGGCGUUUUUAGCUGCUGGAAUUGAAGAGAAAUGAAGAGAAAUUUAGAUAUUUCCUAUUUAGUCCUAGUUUUAUUUAGUUAAUUUUGCAAUAUUCCAAUUUUGCCCUUAAUUUAUCAAUUUUCCUGCUGAUUUCAUGCCCUUUCUGUCCAGCCAUAAUAAAUUUUGGGUCUAAUUUCCUUUUAAAACCUUUAUCAUUAGACUCUUAAGCUAUUUAAUCAUUCUAGCAACUUUUACACCUAUUACAAUUUAGUCCUUUUCAUUUAAUUGACUACCCAAACAUUAAAAUUUCUUACGAAAUUUUAAUACCACAUUACUAACAUUUCAUAAAUAUUUAUAAAAUUAUUUUAGACUCGGUUUUACGAGAUAGAGGUCUCGAUACCUUGUUUUUACCCAAUUUCUUUAAUAAUUUCUUUUUCUAACUAACCACUAAAUCGGUAAAAUUUUUUCUAUCAAUAUUUUCAUAUGAUUUUCCUAUCAUAUCAAUUUUCAUGCAAAAAUAUUGAAAUAAAUUUCUCUUUAAAUUGGAUUUGUGGUUACGAAACCACUAUUACGAUAACCUUGAAUUUAGGCCAUUACAAUGUGCUUCAUGUUAUUAGGGAUUGUCCUGCAACGAGAAAUAUUUAGGAUCAUCUAAUUCCAGUCGAAUGGUAUUCUAUGUUCUAUGCAGGAAAUUUAUAUGAGUGGCUUGUGUUAAACUUGGAAAAUUAGCAUGGUUGGUGCUUCGGAGAUGUAGAUUGGCAAUAUCUAUUUGGGAUCAUCGCUUGGCAUAUUUAGAAGAAUCACAAUCUUUUCCUUUUCCAGGGUGCUCCAUGGAGUGAUAAUGAAACUAUUAAGGUGACGUAUAGUUGGGCAAAACAAUACGUCUCUUCUACAAGGGGCAUGUCAACUGAAACACGAUGUAAGUUUUCAUCUUCAUAUUUAACUAACGAUUGGGUCACAUUGAGUAAAGAUGGAUCUAUCUAGAAAGAAGUUGGUUUUGCGGCGGUAGGGGGAAUAGUGCAAGAUCAAGGUGGAACGUGGAUUCUUGGAUUUAAUAGAUAUUUGGGAAAUUUUUUUGUUUUUUAUGCUGAGUCGUGGGGUAUUUUGGAUGGUCUGAUUAUUUUAAGUGAACGGGGCUAUGACAAUGUGUUAAUUCAAUCUGACUAUCUUGAGCCGGUUACGACUAUUCAAGAGAGGUCUUCAGAAGGAUCCAAUUAUACUUUGGUUAGGAGAAUUCAUUAGAUGUUGUCAUGGUUCAAACAGUGGAGCUUUAGACACAUUUCUAGCAAGGAAAAUCAGGAUGCUGAUCAUAUGGUCAAUCUAGUCCAACAUAGAACUAAAGAUUUACGUUUGUUUGAGAUCUCCUAGUUUGAGGGAUUGGUCUGGUUUUUGUUAUAAGUUUAUUUAUUUUACUUUUUCACCAAAAAAAAAAGUUGUGGAUAAUAAAUAUUUAAACUAAUUAAUAUCAUUACAAAAAUAGAUAAUUAAAUUAUGUUAAAUUAAAAUAUAAAGAUUAAAUCAAAAUAUGAUGAUAGUAUAGAUUAAGUUGCUCCAUUAUAGUGCAGCAUGAAAAAGGACAACGGAAAAGAGUUAGGCGGGUUUAGACUUCUUGCUUUUCUUUUUGUUUUCUCUCUUGUGAUCCACGUCCGUUACAUAAAUUAUUUCAAAUUCCUUUUCAUCAAAUGUGAUUACACCUCUUUCGUCAAAAGUUUGAAAAUCCUCUUUGUAAUGUUAAAUAAGCCCUUAAAAUCUACCUUUUUUUAUUAUUAUUUACGUUUUUUCAGACUUUUCUUUUUGGUAUAAUAUUAUCUAAUAAUUAUGUGUUAGAUAUCACAUUCUUACUUAAUCACAUUAAUUUUUUAAAUAAAAUUGAUAUUUUUAUUUUUAAAAAAAAGGCAAGUUUGUAUGUUCUUAUAUGAGUUUUUUUUAAUAUAUCUUUUAAUAGAAACUUUUUAAUCGUCGGUAUUACUAGGAUAUGUUUUAAUUAAUCGAUCAACUAUCAUAUAUUAAUUUCUCUAAACACAUAUUAGAAUUUGAUAGUCCAAAUUUACCGGCAUUAUUCUUUUAUCCUUCAAAUCAGAGUCAUUGGCGGGACUUCCUUUUAAGAUAUCCUCAAGCAUAUCAGUUACAACCUUGCUAUCACAUUCAAUUAUUGUUUUAUAAUAGCUCCUCAGUCGAACUCAAAGUAAUAAUUGCCCACAAUUCAGCGGUAAGCACAGAACUUGUGUUGCUGGUAAUCUGCUGGAAAAUAAUUGCCCAUUCUCAUCAUCAAAUUGCCGAAGGGAAUCACAAGAAAUAGGAAACAAACCAAGGCUAAAACCAACAUGAUUUGGUAGCCUAAAUCAUCAUCUCUUUUGAAAUGACCAUAUCUUCUGUGAUAUCGCUUCAUUUUCUAUACAAUAUAGUACUAUCCUGGACCACCUUUCUUUUUUCAUAAAAAGAUUAAUAAUAAGAAGAAGAAGAAAAAAUAAUAAUAAUAACGUCGAGUGUUAUUCCCUAAUGCCUAUAUUAUUACUUUGAAGAACCUCUUCAGAGUGGCUGGUAAUCUGCUGGAAAAUAAUUUUGUUCCUAUUCUUCCACAAAAACCAACAAGCGACAGCAAACGUUACACCCUAAUCUGCUAUCCUCGAAUUCAAAGUAAGUGAGAAAAAUGAUAUAAUUUAGAGCUUAAUUUUAUAAUUAAGGCAAUAAUUAUUCAAAGUAAAAUUUAGAUGGGAUUCCAAAUAAAAGAAAUUAACUCCUCAAUUAGCACUUGCUUGAAG